GGACUACUGGGGUAUCUAAUCCCGUUCGCUCCCCUAGCUUUCGCGUAUGAGUGUCAGGAGUGUGCCAGGAGGCCGCCUUCGCCACUGGUGUUCCUCCGCAUAUCUACGCAUUUCACCACUACAUGCGGAAUUCCACCUCCCUCUCACACCCUCAAGUUCGACAGUAUCGGACAGCGUCUCUCAGUUGAGCCGAGAGUUUUCAUGCCCGACUUACCAAACCACCUGCACGCGCUUUACGCCCAGUGAAUCCGGAUAACGCUCGGUACCUACGUUUUACCGCGGCUGCUGGCAC
rnacentral:rRNA from 1 species